GGUGCGCACAUCAGGCAGAUUGUUGAGCAAGCGCGGAGCUACCGGCCGAAGGACAGCAGGAAAGUGUACAGAGGCUUGUGGGGCCUACGGUGGCUGACAGGAGUCAAGUCAUGACGGGGUGAAGGUUGUCCCAGGAAAAGCAAGUGCAGAGACAUCAAGAUUAUGGAAAAUUUCAAACAUACCUAAAGAAGAGGGAGGGAAAGAUAUAACUAACUCCCAUAUGCCCAUCCCCCAUGUUCAGUGUGGCCACUGUUGUUUCAUUAUCCCAACACCCCUUCUUGAGCCCCUUAAGUUAUUUUGAAGCAAAUUCCCCACAUUUCAUCCCAAAACACUUCAGUCUGUGUCUCUAAUAAGAGGACUCUCUCUUUUAAACAAUAUCAUUAUCACACCAUUCAAAAUUUAGAGUCAUUUUAAAAAUAUUACCACAUUUCCUCCGUGGUCCCAUAUAUAUCAUUUCUUUUUUUCCUUUCCAAGCACCUUUUGUUUUAUUUCAAACAUACAAAAAAGUCUACAGAGUAAAAGAAUUGUUUUCUGCAUUAAUGAUAGAAUUACUGUUAUCCAUUCAUGGCCAACGUUGUUUCAAUUCCCCCAUCCUCUCCUCCCAGGUAAUUUUGAAGCUACAUGCCAGACAUCAUAAAAAUAAAAAUCUUUUUGUUACA